rnacentral:rRNA from 1 species
UACAGAGGGUGCGAGCGUUAAUCGGAUUUACUGGGCGUAAAGCGUACGUAGGCGGCUUUUUAAGUCGGAUGUGAAAUCCCUGAGCUUAACUUAGGAAUUGCAUUCGAUACUGGGAAGCUAGAGUAUGGGAGAGGAUGGUAGAAUUCCAGGUGUAGCGGUGAAAUGCGUAGAGAUCUGGAGGAAUACCGAUGGCGAAGGCGACUGUCUGGUCUGUAACUGACACUGAGGCGCGAAAGCGUGGGGAGCAAACAGG